UACAGAGGGGGCAAGCGUUGUUCGGAAUUACUGGGCGUAAAGGGCGCGUAGGCGGGUGCUCAAGUCCGGGGUGAAAUCCUCCAGCUCAACUGGAGAACUGCCUCGGAUACUGGGUGUCUCGAGGGUGGUAGGGGUAUGCGGAACUAUCGGUGGAGCGGUGAAAUGCGUUGAUAUCGAUAGGAACUCCGGUGGCGAAGGCGGCAUACUGGACCACUUCUGACGCUGAGGCGCGAAAGCCAGGGGAGCAAACGGG
rnacentral:rRNA from 1 species